AUAGGCCCCCUAUUAUAUAGAAUCUAGCUCUAGUCGACUCUAGACUAGAUCUAGGAUAAAUCUGAAGUCUAGAUGAUCAGCUUCAUCUUACUUUGAUCAUGGCAUGAUGAUGAUCAACAUGAUGAUUAAUCUGACUUGUUAACUUAAACUUGAAAAACUUCGUCUUACUACUUUUAUCUUAGCCUUAGCCUUAGCUUCUUCAUUAUGAUAUGUGAAUCAUGAAUGGAAGUAGUCAAGUAGGGAUUGAAGUGCUUGGCUCACAGUGUCACAGAUCGUUCUUUAAACUAUUUGAAGAUCUACUUUAUCUGUACUAACGACUCUAAUCUAUAUCUAGUUUAUAUCUAAUAUUAUCUAUAUAUAUUUUGUUUGAUAAUAAUAGACCUAGACUCUUAUAAAUAUAAGAUCUAGAAUCUGUAUCUAGAUUUAGAUCUAUUCCUAUACACUGAUUAUACACUACAGAUUUAAUGUUUCUGAUGAGCAAUUCUACUGUCUACAGCCUUGCCCAUUAACAUAGGCCCUACUCAUGUACUAGAUCUAGCUCUUUUGAUCACAACUCAUAUCUUGCCUAGAUAUAAACAACUAUACUAGAUUGGACUAGACAUUCUAAUCGGUUCUAUUUACUUUUUCAUUAUUCUCACACAUUCCAGUAGGCAGUAGGUACCAAAUUGUACUAUUUAUUCACUGUAGAUCUAGAUCUUAACUACCAAAGAAGUACACAAAGUAUGUUGAAUGAUACCCAAAGGGCUCUAAUUGCUACCAUUCAAUGUGUGGAUUCAAGUAUUUACCCAGAUACUGCCACAAUAUGUUAUUAUUGUUUUCAAAGGAGUUUGCACACAGUGCCAGAAGCUGUAUAAAUACAUUUAACAGUAAGUUUUUAAAUGUAUAUUUCAAGAAGAAAUGAUGCUUUCUUAUUCCUAAGAGUUUAUCAAUUGGAUGAAUGCCACAAAACUCACUUGUUAUGCCAGAAACUCUUCUUACGAAACUUCCUACUAGAAUUUGUCCAGUGCCUGUGAUCCUCUGAGUUGGAGGAGAAUGUGCUCUAUAAUACCUACUAGUAGCUUGCUGAUAGCUGGAAGUUCAUGAAUACUAUGUUGUCCUUGAUUUGAUGAUUCUGAAAACUACCAUUUCUGAAGACUUGAGCAUUAUUUCUAUAAUUUAAAAAAAUCUUUUCAGGAAAUAUUGUGUUUAUAAUAUUAAGAAAGUGAAGAUAAUAUUGUUCUUACUACUAAGAAAACUGUCCUCGUUUAAUGUUAGCGAAAAGGCCUUGGCUAUGUUUUAUCACGCUCAUAUCUGCAAUGUUUUCAGUUUCAAUAUCACUGCCUGGUAUGGCAAUCUGAGCAUUAAAAAUAGGAAUAAACUUAAUAGAAUCCUCAAUGCUGCUGGCAAAAUCAUUGGCAAAAAACAAACCCCAUUUGGGCAGUUGUUUGAGACAAACAUCUAUAAAAAAGCUAACAAGAUCCUUGAAAUAAAGAAUCACCCUUUGUGUCAGGAUUUUGUGAUUUUACCAUCACAAAAGAGAUACAAGACACCGAUAGCAAAGACAAACAGACACAAACACUCUUUUGUUCCCCUGGCAAUCAAAUCAUUAAAUAAGAACAAUCUGGUACAAACUUUGUCACAUGUAAAUUAUGAGUGAGUCUGGUGUGAAUGUACACUUUGGUUUCUUAUAGUUAUAAUGUUUUUUGUUUGGUAAUGCACAAAUUGUAAGACAAAUUUCUUUACGGAUAAUAAAGAUUAUUAUUAUUAUUAUUAUUAAAAUAGAAAGCACAUCAUUACAAUAUUCACUUGUCAAUAAAUGUUAGCAUUAUUCAAUUUUUAGUUACAUGUUCAGACUAUUAAAUUGUAUUAUUUAAAUUAUAGCAACUUUCUCUUUCAGUCAAGCUUAAGAUACAUUCCUGUAAAAGUCUAUAAUAAUAAGUUAAUACUUCACAAGAAAAAGUGUUUGAAUGGUUUUCAUUUGUUUGUACAUCAAAUAUGUAUUAAUAUAAUUUUCAUUUUUAGAUGAAACAUUAAAUACUGAAGAUGACCAUUUCAAUUUCUGAUGUAGGCCUAUUCUCAUUUCAUAAAACAAACAGAAUAUUAUCUGAAAUUUCAUCCCUUCAUGGUAACUGUAACUGGCUUCAUAAAAAAAAUGGAGUGAUGACUGGGUUGACUAUACAUUUUUGUAUAAAUAAUGCAUAAAUGAAUGUAGCUCAUACUGUUCUUUUCCUCAUCUUGAAAUGUGUGGACUGAUAAUUUGCUGUUGCAUUUUGUUUUCAUAAGUCAAUGACACAUGAUACUCUAAAUGACAAAUAUCUUCUACUCAUUACAAUAGCACAUUUCCAUGCUGUUUGUCUAAGUGGAAGCAGAUAAAAUUUGUUCCUCUAUUAGCUGUAAAA